rnacentral:lncRNA from 10 species
CAGAGAGCCACGGGAGUGGGCAGGGCCAGUUCAGGAAGGAAUCCCAGAGGCUUUUUGUCCCAAAGCCUACGCAUUCGUGCUGCUCUGACUUAAUGCAGUGCUCAGCUGUGCUGCAGAGUAACGACAAAGGCUGGGAGGAGAGGAAGUGGCUCACAGGCAGCUGAAGGUGUCAUUUUAAACAACGUGCUCUAAGUUAGCCUCAGAUGAGACUCUAGGAGAAGGCAUGGUGUUUCUUCUUGAUUGUCACUGUAUCCCAGGGGUACACGCACCCCAACCAGAGGCUUUGGAGGGUGUGCUUCCUGCCACCCUCAAGGGAGUUGUCUCUGUCAAGCUAACGGAUCCCGAGUUCCGGGGUGCCAGGCCGUAGUCUGCUUCAUUUUUAUCUGCACAAUAACCCGUGAGCCCAUACCAUCACCCCAUUUCACAGCUGAAGAAAUGGAUGCCCAGACAGGAUAAGUAGUUUGUACUAGAGGAUAACUACCUGGCUAACAAACCAACUAGUUAACUGGUUGGCCAGGAUUCAAAAUCUGACCCGCUUCAGAAUCGGGACUCGGACCACAGCGUGGCUUCAGAGAGCUCCUUCACCUGUGCUGGGCGUGCGUUGCCGUCGGGGAUGCGGCGGUGGUUAGCACACGUUCUCUUCACUCCCUGAACACAGAGGCUAGAGAACAGACCUGCAGACACACAGUGCCAGUGCUUGGCAGACACAAUCCUGGACGUCUGUGCUGUUAGGAACCGUCUGACGGGCGCCAGCAUCAGGCCUCGCUGCACACGGGCCUUGGAGCAAGCACAGCACCUGCUCAACAGCCAGCUCUGAGCACGGACCCUGCUUCCACCCUUCAGACAAACCAGCCACCAAGAGGCAUUUCUGGUCAUCAUCGAGCAUGACUCACCUUCAGCACCGGCUGAGCGAGGCCCAGAAGAUGACCAACUCCGUGGGGACCUGAGGUCAGGAGGCAAACGUGCAAGGUGGCUCAUGCCUCUAAUCCAACACUUUGGGAGGCUGAGGCAGGAGGAUCACUUGAGCCCAGGAGUUUGAGACCAGCCUGGGCAACAUAGUGAGACCAAAAAAUAUAAAAAUUACCCGGGCAUGAUAGCACACACCUGUGGUCCCAGCUACUCAGGAGGCUGAGCUGGGAGGAUCACCUGAGCCCAGGAGGUCGAGGUUGCAAAUCACGGCACUGCACUCCAGCCUGGGUGACAGAGGAAGACAUGGUCUCAAAAAGAAAAAAGGAGACAAACAUCACCGGGGGCCAUCCUGCAGGAGCUUGGGGAGUUUCUGCUGCUGCCUCCUAGAGACCUUCCUGCAGGGUGUGGCUCUUUACAGUUUGCACAGCUAGGUCCCCCCAACCCCAUUCUCUCAUGGAGGCUCCAGAGGGGCCCUGAUGGCCUAGUCAGCAGGGCGGCCAGAACGCACUGCCAGUCUCCUAACUCUGAGCCCAGUGUCCUUUGGGUCGGCCAGGCUCAGCCCGAGCUGAGGGGAGAGGGAGG